UACGUAGGGUGCAAGCGUUGUCCGGAAUUAUUGGGCGUAAGGAGCUCGUAGGCGGUUUGUUGCGUCGGCUGUGAAAUCCCGAGGCUCAACCUCGGGUCUGCAGUCGAUACGAGCAAACUAGAGUGUUGCAGGGGAGACUGGAAUUCCUGGUGUAGCGGUGAAAUGCGCAGAUAUCAGGAGGAACACCGGUGGCGAAGGCGGGUCUCUGGGCCGGUACUGACGCUGAGGUGCGAAAGCGUGGGGAGCAAACAGG
rnacentral:rRNA from 1 species